AGUGAACGCUGGCGGUAGGCCUAACACAUGCAAGUCGAACGGCAGCACAGUAAGAGCUUGCUCUUACGGGUGGCGAGUGGCGGACGGGUGAGGAAUACAUCGGAAUCUACUUUUUCGUGGGGGAUAACGUAGGGAAACUUACGCUAAUACCGCAUACGACCUACGGGUGAAAGCAGGGGAUCUUCGGACCUUGCGCGAUUGAAUGAGCCGAUGUCGGAUUAGCUAGUUGGCGGGGUAAAGGCCCACCAAGGCGACGAUCCGUAGCUGGUCUGAGAGGGUGAUCAGCCACACUGGAACUGAGACACGGUCCAGACUCCUACGGGAGGCAGCAGUGGGGAAUCUUGGACAAUGGGCGCAAGCCUGAUCCAGCCAUACCGCGUGGGUGAAGAAGGCCUUCGGGUUGUAAAGCCCUUUUGUUGGGAAAGAAAAGCAGCAGGUUAAUACCCCGCUGUUCUGACGGUACCCAAAGAAUAAGCACCGGCUAACUUCGUG
rnacentral:rRNA from 1 species